ACAGUGGUAGUUCAGUGGCAGAAUUCUCACCUUCCAUGCUAGAGACCCAGUUUCGAUUUCUGGCCAGUGCA
rnacentral:tRNA from 1 species